CCCAUUUCUCCCUGUACACAUCUACCAGGAAGGACACGGCCGUACACACGCGCAUCAUAUGGUCAUGUGACUGGAGCGCCGACAACAAGUACUUUGUGACGUCGAGUCGAGACAAGAAGGUGAUAGUGUGGGGGGACUGCAGUAGUUCUGAGGCCACUGUGACCCCUGAUGAACCCCCAGUCAUCCGGCCCUGUUCCUCCAUAUUAGACGUAGGAGACUCGGCCACUGCUGUCUCCUUCUGCCCCAUCCUGUGCCCCGGCAACAGCUAUCUGCUGGCGGUGGGGCUGGAGAGUGGUCAGGUCCUGCUGUAUAAGUGGGAACCCAGUGAGGAGCCUGCUGGAGCAUCAGACUGGACCAGAUAUGGAGAAACAGACUCCUCUCAGAGUCACUCGCUGACGGUGAAGAGGCUGCGCUGGAGGCCGAGGGCGGGCCGAGCCGGCCAGGGGGGUGAGGAGGAAGGCAGGGGCGAGGGCAGCGUCACAGCAGCAGGCAGCUCUUGGGUACAGCUAGCCAGUGCAGGGGCAGACCACUCUGUCAAAAUCUUCAACAUCAACAGACUGAAUGUGUAGCUAGCGUUGGACCGGAGACACUGAAACCAUUAGAUCGUGGUAUCCUGACACUGCUGACUGAGACUACAGGGCUGUCUGGAGCGGAGACGAGUGGAACAGACCUGGGGCUGGCUGUUCACUGGGUCAUUCCAUUCACCCUGUGUGACAACCAGCCAGCUAGCUCAGACAAGAUAGUCUCACGGCCAGGUCUGGUUGUCUGGUGAUCUGGGCUACAGGCUGCUUCCAGGAUGCCCCUAGCCCAUGACUUCUCUCUCUCUCUGCAGCCCUGGUCUUUGUCUUCUGUAUUUAUGCUCUUAUUUUGGUCUAAGACGAGGGAUAUUAGGCUCACCGUUUCAACAUACUUUUAUGUUAAUGUAUUCAUUUGUUAGGGUUCAGUAACUGAAAUCAAGUUAUGUUUGAAAGUCCCCUGGUUUCUUGAUUACCAUAUCUUCUUUCUUUGUGGUGUAUUGCGGUCUCUUCAUGUUCUGAUGGCUUGAAAUGUCCUUAAAAAAAUGACACAGUACUGAUACUUUUAAUGUAAAAUAAGUUACAUAUCUGAAAUAAAGCUCUUUUUGUAUACAUA